CCAUUUUGAAUCAGCGAGCCCACAUGCAUUCUCCGAGGCGAUGCAUCAAGUCACCGAGCCCACGUGUCUCUUCAAGAUGCCAAAUGUACUCAUUGAGACCACGUGCAUUCUCCGAGGUAAUGCAUCAAAUUACCGAGCCCACGUGUCUCUUUUAGAUGCCAAAUGUACUCAUUGAGACCACGUGCAUUUUCCGAGGUAAUGCAUCAAAUUACCGAGCCCACGUGUCUCUUUUAGGAUGCCACACUUAAUCACCGAGCCACAUGCAUUCUCCAAGGCGACAUACUUCGUCACCGAGCCAUGUGCAUUCUCCGAGGUGAUAUAUCUAAUCAUCAAGCCCCGUGCAUUCUCCAAGGCGACGUACUAAUCAUCGAGCCACGUGCAUUCUCCGAAGUGAUAUACCAAAUCACCGAGCCACGUGCAUUCUCCGAGAUGACGUACUAUUCACCGAGCCACGUGCAUUCUCCAAGAUGACGUACUAUUCACCGAGCCACGUGCCUUUCGUGAUGAUUCAUCCCAUUUCUAAAGUAAUUAUCCACAAUUAAAUCAAUUCAGCACAAAUUAAAGCUCAAUUAAAUAAACGGACUGCGCCACGAUGAUCAGCACGAGAUUUCGGUCGUCGGCCAUCUCAAACUUAAUUUCCAAAAAAAAAAAAUUAAUUAAUUAAUUUCGAAAAUUAAUUAUUAAAUAUUAAAAAUUCUGUUUAGCUCAAAAUAAGGCCCAAUUAAAUAAACGGACUUCGCCACAGUCAUCAGCAUAAUUUUCCGGUCACGGUCCAUCUCAAUUGAAUUUCCGGAAAAUAAAUAAUUAAUUAAUAAAUUUCGAGAAUUAAUAAUUAAUUAUAAUAAAUCCAAUUUAGCUCAAAUUGGUGCUCAGUUAAAUAAACAGACUUCACCACAGUCAUCAGCAUAAAAUUCCGGUUCCAGACCAUCUCAGUUAAAUUUUUGAAAAAUAAAUAAUUAUUUAAUUUAAUUCCGAAAAUUAAUAUUUAAAUACUAAAAAUUCCACUUAGGCCCGAAAAGCCUAAUUGGAGCCCACUAAGGGUCGGGAAAAAUCCCGAGGUACUUCCAAUAAUUAGUAUACCACGUCUACUUGAUAAUUGCGCAAUCAAUUUAUCUAAAUCGCAUCACAAUUGACUAAUAAUUGCUAAUUUAUUAUAAUCUAACAACCUAAAUAUAAUUAAUUAAAUCUAAACCAACCUUAAGCAUAAUUAGCCAACUAAUUAGUGAGAUUAAUCACCAAAUCGCGCGCAAAUCAGAUCAAUCCGACGAGGGCGACACGAGGAACGAUUCUUCCCAAAGCACGGCUCGGGUUCGGAAACGGCCCAAAAGCGGGCCCGAACCAGCUAGAAACCCAUUUCGUGGGUUGCUGGACGGGGCUGGCCGGGGCUGCUCCGGUGGCCAAAACGGCGAGGGGAGGCCGGCGGAAGACGAGGGGGACGCCGGGGGGUGGCGCGGUGGCCGGAGGCGGCUGGUCGAGGCGAAACCGAGCUGAACAGAGGCCGAACGGCCUGUCUCGCACGGGGAAGGGGCGCCUGGGCGGAGGAGAGGGCAGGCGGUGCACGGCGGCGAGCGGCGGACGCGGGGCGGCGGUGCGGGCGGCGACGGCUCCGGCAAGCUGCAACCGUGCGGCUUCUUCUUCCUCGUCUCUGGUUUUCACGGGCGAGAAACGAGGGGAAGGGGGGCUUUCGGUCACGUGGGGGGAAAAGUGGGAGAGAAGAGAGGAGAGAGAAGAAGAGAUAAGAGAGAGAAGAGAUAGGGUUGAAUGGUCAAAGGGAG
rnacentral:lncRNA from 1 species